CGGGAAGUCCUCGUGUUGCAUCCCU
rnacentral:sRNA from 1 species